GGAGGGGGCAAGCGUUGUUCGGAAUUACUGGGCGUAAAGGGCGCGCAGGCGGCUGCUCAAGUCAGGCGUGAAAGGCCUGGGCUCAACCCGGGAAUUGCGCUUGAGACUGGGCUGGCUUGAGUGCGGGAGAGGAUGGUGGAAUUCCCAGUGUAGAGGUGAAAUUCGUAGAUAUUGGGAAGAACACCGGUGGCGAAGGCGGCCAUCUGGACCGCAACUGACGCUGAGGCGCGAAAGCGUGGGGAGCAAACAGGAUUAGAUACCCUGGUAGUCCACGCCGUAAACGAUGAGUGCUAGACGUUGGGGGGCCUAGCCUUCCGGUGUCGCAGCURACGCAUUAAGCACUCCGCCUGGGGAGUACGGCCGC
rnacentral:rRNA from 1 species